UUGAUCGUAAGACAACAUCCAAGCAGCAUUCAGGAAGCAUGGUUCAGCCCUGGACGAAGCCAUCGUCCAGCUACUGGAUUUCUGGAGGAACGCUUGCGAAAUGUCAGGAAGAGAACCCGUCGUGAAAACUGCACAAGCCGUGAGAAAGAGGAUUCUCAAGCCAUAAGCAGCACCUUGGUUAUACCAGGUAAAAAUUUAAAUUUGCUAUCUUUUACUAAAAGCAAGUGUUUAUUAUUUUGGCAAAUAUCCUUAAUUUUGUUGUUAAAAUUAUAUUUAUUUGUAGAGCCAAGUAUUUCACCUGACAGAGCAGUACAACUUGCAGAAUGGCUUAAAAAUAAUAUAUGGCCAGCUAACCAAGUUGCAGAUUACAUGAAAGAAACAGCCAUCCACAUGGCUCAGUGGAUAAGAGCUAACGGGACAAAAUCUAUCGAGGAAAUAACUUGUGAAUUCCCUCGACUCCUUGAUACGCCAGGCAUGGUAGGUCCAAAUCUGUGCAUCUUUUUCCAGAAAGUCAGAAUUCCUUUUGAUGGUCAUCAGGAUGGGCAAAAAAAAUAAACAUUUUUUAAAUAGGCAAAUUAGUUUACCUGUACUGCUCUGGAACACUGGAAGGCUGAAGACAGAGCAUUGCCUUUUAAUUUUUUUAAAUAAGUUAAUGCAAUGUUGAUUUCUCAUUUUCAGAUUUCACAAGACUUCUCUGUAUUAUUCCCCGACCACGCAGAGAGACUUUUCCAAACUUGGAAAAUGAGUUUCAAAGACAAAAUCCUUUGCUUUGCCAGCCAGGAGAAAAAGGCGCAGGAGCUUCUCCAGAAUUUAGACAGUUUGUCUCCAGGUACAGUUGUGAAUGCAAGAACUAAUAGUUAUUCAUUAGAAUAAUGAUGACAAAAUAAUUAAUACAAAAUAUUAAUCUGCACAGAAGUCCAAAGUGACGUUGCACUCAGGCUGCUUCCUGUAAUACUGCCCACCCCUGUCUACAAAAAAGGGAUGAAAAUGUUCAAACCAAGCUUGGAAGAAAAUAUCAAGUCUUUCAUUGAAUUCAAGCAUGUAAGUAAUUUUGUAUUAUUACACAUCACGUGCAAACCAUACUAAGAGCAAAUUAAAAUGGCUUAACAUAUCAAGUGUUUAUAAAGUCACUGUCAUCCGCAUUAAAUUCUUUAUUUGUCAUUGCUUAGAAUCAGAAAAGAACUCCAAAAGCUAUAUACAGUGGCAAGAAAAAGUAUUUGAAACUAGAGGUCGACCGAUAUUGGAUUUUGCCGAUACCAAUAGCUAGGUUGGACCACAUUGGCUGAUACUGAUAAAUUAACCGAUAAUUUAAAAAAAAAACAGUACUUGUCACAGACACGCCAGGCUCCAGCACCACCCAAUCACAGCACGCACCAUCACCUGAGUACUAAUCACACUCACCUGCUCCUCAUCUACCUGCAAUCUCCCCAGCACUCAAAAGUCACACACACACACGCAGUCACUGUCCGGUCUCGUUCGCAACUAGGUCUAUACCUACCUGCUAACUCUAAGGACUAACCAUAUACCUGACUUACCUCUCUCCGGCGAUCUCCAGUGUGCUCCUGUUCCCAUUGUCUGUCUGUCUGUCUGUCUGUCUGUCUGUCUGUCUGUCUGUCUGUCUGUCUGUCUGUCUGUCUGUCUGUCUUCUUCCUCCUCCUCCAUCGUCUCAAGCCACCACCUCUCGGAUCAUCCCACCUUCCAAGACACCAGCACCGUAUCCUCUAGGCUUUUUCCUAAAUUCCAUUUUAUUUCCAAAUUCCGUUAUUAAAUUUUUCUGGAUUCUGUUUUUUUUUUUUUAAUUUUAGUCCACUCCUUUUUAGUAGUUAAAUUAAAGUUUCUUAAUCAUAAAGCAAGUCUUCAAUCUGCGUUUUCUGCAUUGCGGAAAACAUAGGGCCCUACAUUUAUCCCAGCACAAUGUAAACUCUCACACUUUAACUGCUUCUAUUCUUGAAUCAGUAAGUCACUAAAAGACUUUGUGAUUAUCUAAUCAAAAUAAAAGAGCAGCGCUUGAGUCAUAGGAGAACUCCCCGGUAUCACACACACUCCGGACGCGUCGCGUUCAACUCGAGCAGCGGUCUAAAAUGGUUUAUUUAUUCACCAAAUGGACACGAGUUUAUUUCAAGAAUGAACAAUGAGGCAAAGAGAAAUUUGAAAUUCAGUGUUUAAAAAACGAUAAAUCGGUCGACCUCUUAUUUGAACCCUUUGGAAUUAAUUGGUUUUCUGCAUUAAUUGGUAAUGUGAUUUAUAUAUUUCCUAUUAUGCAAACACAAAAGGAUAGCCUGUAAGACCUUUGUUCAUCUAAGAAACACAAAUGAAGAUAUAU
ensembl:lncRNA